rnacentral:rRNA from 1 species
AAACUUUCAACAACGGAUCUCUUGGCUCUGGCAUCGAUGAAGAACGCAGCNAAAUGCGAUAAGUAAUGUGAAUUGCAGAAUUUAGUGAAUCAUCGAAUCUUUGAACGCACAUUGCGCCCCUUGGUAUUCCGAGGGGCAUGCCUGUUCGAGCGUCA